rnacentral:rRNA from 1 species
UAUUAUGAGAGUUUGAUCCUGGCUCAGGACGAACGCUGGCGGCGUGUUUAAGGCAUGCAAGUCGAACGAGUACCUUCGGGUACAAGUGGCAGACGGGAGAGUAACACAUUGGUAACCUACCCCGAAGUUUGGUAUAACUCCGCGAAAGCGGAGCUAAUCCCAAAUGUGAUCAGUAUAUACUUUAUACUGUUUAAAGAUUUAUCGCUUCGGGAGGGGCCUAUG